rnacentral:rRNA from 1 species
UACGUAGGGCGCAAGCGUUUGUCCGGAAAUUAUUGGGCGUAAAGAGCUCGUAGGCGGUUUGUCGCGUCGGAUGUGAAAGCCCGGGGCUUUAACCCCGGGUCUGCAUUCGAUACGGGCAGACUGGAGUGUGGUAGGGGAGAUCGGAAUUCCUGGUGUAGCGGUGAAAUGCGCAGAUAUCAGGAGGAACACCGGUGGCGAAGGCGGAUCUCUGGGCCAUUACUGACGUGAGGAGCGAAAGCGUGGGGAGCGAACAGG